UACGUAGGGUGCGAGCGUUGUCCGGAAUUAUUGGGCGUAAAGGGCUCGUAGGCGGUUUGUCGCGUCGGGAGUGAAAACUCAGGGCUUAACCCUGAGCCUGCUUCCGAUACGGGCAGACUAGAGGUAUGCAGGGGAGAACGGAAUUCCUGGUGUAGCGGUGAAAUGCGCAGAUAUCAGGAGGAACACCGGUGGCGAAGGCGGUUCUCUGGGCAUUACCUGACGCUGAGGGGCGAAAGUGUGGAGAGCGAACAGG
rnacentral:rRNA from 1 species